UACGGAAUGUGCAAACGUUAUUCGGAAUCACUGGGCUUAAAGAGUGCGUAGGCGGCUUGUUAGGUGAGGUGUGAAAUCCCCCGGCUCAACCGUGGAAUUGCGCUUCAAACCGGCAAGCUUGAGGAGGAUAGAGGUGGGCGGAACUGAUGGUGGAGCGGUGAAAUGCGUUGAUAUCAUCAGGAACACCGGAGGCGAAAGCGGUCCACUGGGUCCUUUCUGACGCUGAGGGACGAAAGCUAGGGGAGCGAACGGG
rnacentral:rRNA from 1 species